CCUGCCAGGAUAUGGUUUGAUAAAUGCAUCCUCCGAUUCUAAAUUGUUGUCGAAAUAUUUUAUGUAUCUAUACGUUUUUUAAGAAUAGCUACGUCCAUAUUUGGACAAAUUUGAGUCAAGAGUUUAGAAUCAGAGAUAGUAGCAAAUAUAUC